GCCGUUGUAGCUCAGUUGGUAGAGCAACUCCAUGGUAAGGAGUAGGUCGCCGGUUCAAUUCCGGCCAACGGCUCCA
rnacentral:tRNA from 2 species